rnacentral:misc_RNA from 1 species
UUUCCAUCUCACACAAUAGUGGCCAUGGCUACUCGACGAAUGAAAAGCCCUAGCUCUCUCCAUCUCGUUGCUGUGUUCUCUCUACUAGUAGUCGCCGCCGCCGCCGAAGUUUUCUUCCAGGAAAGCUUCAAUGAUGGUUGGGAAAGCAGGUGGGUAAAAUCUGAAUGGAAGAAAGAUGAAAACAUGGCUGGAGAGUGGAAUCACACCUCUGGGAAGUGGAAUGGUGACGCCAAUGACAAAGGUAUUCAGACCAGUGAAGACUACAGGUUCUACGCCAUUUCGGCUGAGUUCCCUGAAUUUAGUAACAAGGGAAAGAACUUAGUGUUCCAGUUCUCUGUUAAGCAUGAGCAGAAGCUUGACUGUGGUGGUGGGUACAUGAAGUUGCUUAGUGGAGACGUUGACCAAAAGAAAUUCGGUGGUGACACUCCCUACAGUAUCAUGUUUGGACCAGACAUCUGUGGCUACAGUACCAAGAAAGUCCAUGCUAUUCUCACUUAUAACGAGACAAACCAUUUGAUCAAGAAGGAAGUCCCAUGUGAGACUGAUCAGCUGACCCAUGUCUACACUUUCAUCCUCCGUCCUGAUGCCACAUACAGUAUUCUCAUUGACAAUGUGGAGAAACAGUCUGGUAGCUUGUACUCUGAUUGGGACAUUCUCCCACCAAAGAAGAUCAAGGAUCCAAGUGCCAAGAAACCUGAAGAUUGGGA